UCCCAGUGAAGAAACAGUCACAUGUCUUACCUCCUGUCCUAGUCCCAGAGCAGUGAACCACUAGGGCUGGCUGGGGGAAAGGAGGAAGCUUGCUCUAGAACUGUCUGAGGGAU
rnacentral:snoRNA from 1 species